AUAGUAAUGUGAAUUGCAGAAUUCAGUGAAUCAUCGAAUCUUUGAACGCACCUUGCGCUCCUUGGUAUUCCGAGGAGCAUGCCUGUUUGAGUGUCAUUAAAUUCUCAACCUUACCAGUUUUUACAAAGCUCGGUCUGGCUUGGACUUGGGGGUAUUUUGANGGCUUCUAACGAGGUCGGCUCCCCUUAAAUGCAUUAGCGGCGCCCCGCGUGGACCCGUCUAUUGGUGUGAUAAUUAUCUACGCCGUGGACAUCCACUUUAAAAUGGGUUGUGCUGCUUCUAACCGUCCUUCUAUGGACAACAAAAUGACAAUUUGACCUCAAAUCAGGUAGGACUACCCGCUGAACUUAAGCAUAUCAAUAAGCGGAGGAAAAGAAACUAACAAGGAUUCCCCUAGUAACUGCGAGUGAAGCGGGAAAAGCUCAAAUUUAAAAUCUGGCGGUCUUUGGCCGUCCGAGUUGUAAUCUAGAGAAGUGUUAUCCGCGCUGGACCGUGUACAAGUCUCCUGGAAUGGAGCGUCAUAGAGGGUGAGAAUCCCGUCUUUAACACGGACUGCCAGGGCUUUGUGAUGCGCUCUCAAAGAGUCGAGUUGUUUGGGAAUGCAGCUCAAAAUGGGUGGUAAAUUCCAUCUAAAGCUAAAUAUUGGCGAGAGACCGAUAGCGAACAAGUACCGUGAGGGAAAGAUGAAAAGAACUUUGGAAAGAGAGUUAAACAGUACGUGAAAUUGCUGAAAGGGAAACGCUUGAAGUCAGUCGCGUUGGCCGGGGAUCAACCUUGCUUUUGCUGGSCGUACUUUCCGGUUGACGGGUCAGCAUCAAUUUUGACCGUUGGAAAAAGGCCAGGGGAAUGUGGCAUCUUCGGAUGUGUUAUAGCCUUUGGUCGCAUACAACGGUUGGGAUUGAGGAACUCAGCACGCCGAAAGGCCGGGUACUUGUACCACGUUCGUGCUUAGGAUGCUGGCAUAAUGGCUUUAAUCGACCCGUCUUGAAACACGGACCAAGGAGUCUAACAUGCCUGCGAGUGUUUGGGUGGAAAACCCGAGCGCGUAAUGAAAGUGAAAGUUGAGAUCCCUGUCGCGGGGAGCAUCGACGCCCGGACCAGACCUUUUGUGACGGAUCCGCGGUAGAGCAUGUAUGUUGGGACCCGAAAGAUGGUGAACUAUGCCUGAAUAGGGUGAAGCCAGAGGAAACUCUGGUGGAGGCUCGUAGCGAUUCUGACGUGCAAAUCGAUCGUCAAAUUUGGGUAUAGGGGCGAAAGACUAAUCGAACCAUCUAGUAGCUG
rnacentral:rRNA from 1 species